ACCCACUCAAUUCAGUCUAAAAUAUAUCAUAAAUAGUGGUUUAUCAAGCACUAAUACUUUUGUUUUGUUUUGAACAAUGUCUGAAUUUCAUUAUGUCAUAGGAUUUUCUGCAUUUUCUGGAACAGUAAUAUAUGCUUGCUUUCAGGUUCCUACUUUUAACUUAUUGACAAUUCUUGGAAAAUAAUUUUUUCCCUCAAUAAACUAACUCAUCAAUUGAUUUUGUUUUUUGGAGAUGGUAGUCACUAGCCUUGGUGCAGCUCUGAUAAAUCUCUGGAACUGGAUUAGUAGCUGGUUGUAUAUUUAUAGCAGCUGCAUUUUACCUUAAGGUAUACCCUGAAUUUGAAAUUCAAUAAUAUAUUUUAUGUAAGGGCAAUUAUAUGGUAUAGAUUAAGGGAUACAUAUUGAAUGGGAUGUUGACAAGUGGCGAGGAUGGUGGAUGCAGGGGACAGGCUUGCUAGAGGUCUGCAAGCUUGCCUGCUAGUUGUGUUGAUGGGGGAGCCGGCUCAUGGAGUAAAGCUAUGUGGUGCCAAUGUUUGGUCCAGAGCAUAGAAAACAAGAGGAGGAUCUGGAAGAAAAGAACGAGAAGCACAAAAUACAUAUUCUAUUGAGAUAAGAUUCUAUCCACAUCCAACAUCACCCUAUCCAACACCAACCGAGGGUUCUACAAAUGGGCAGAUCAUAUUCAACCUCAUUACUGCUCGUUCGGUUUAGGUUUUGUCUACGGACAGAAAUACAAAUAGAAACCAACAUUGGGUCCACGUGUCCUUGUAUUUUGCCGAUGCGUCGGAUCAGUGGAGGGUCACCGGUAUCGGGUAGCGGCAACGUCGCCCAGAUCUUGAAGGGGGCUCAACUUGAAUGCGUGGCGGCAACAUCUCCGGAGGAUCUCGCGUGCCCGGAUGUCGCUGGAGGAGACACGUGUUAGGGUUUAUUGUUAAGGAAUCAAAUCAUGACGUUGGACCGCAUCACGAGUCGGAGGUAAGAGAUGCCAUGGUUGAGUGGCGGCAGCCAUGCAAGGAGGAUGCUCUGUGCGGCAGCUUGAUGGUAACAGUCCAUUCAGCGUGCGUCCAAGAAGAGAAUCUAUUUAAAAUACAGUAUAAUCCAACAUCAGAAAAAUAACCCAUUCAUACCUUCCAUGCCGACCGACCAAGCACAGCAAUUACGUCCGAACAAUUCGGCAGCGGUACCGUCCACGGCCAGACGGAGAAAACGCCGAUUAGGAGGGGAACCCACAACGUCUUUUGCAAUUGGUUGCCAGCCCUAUACCUCCAUCGCCAAGGGACUUCGGAGGCUGUAUCCCUGUCUGUUGAACCUAACUAGUCAUAUUUGGGGAUACCAUCUUCGUUUUUGCUUCGGCCUCCAUGGUUGUCUCAGCACAUGCAUCUCUGUUUUCCUCCUCCCAUUAACAAAGGGAACAAAAAAAAAUAUCCAUCCUUACAUACCCAAUUUAUUUUUUUUUUGUCAAAGCCCAAAUCGAACAACCCACCAGCAGAUUCCAAACCAAAAAAGAAAUGGCUUAUGGCUCUCAGCCAGCCCCUACCAUGUACUGGGAGACAAGUCCUGCCACACUAUAGCAACGUGUCAAGCUUCCAUGCAUUUAGGCAGAGAAUCUGUAAAUCUGUAUCACUUUUAAUCUGUACCAUAUAAUGACCCUUUAUGUAAAAGGUGACAAUCAUUAUUUUGUGAAGGUUCAUGAAGUGAGAUUGGGGGCACUCCCUGCACUUGCUUUGA